CUCUUCUCUGGGCUGUGAACUCCUGGAACCUCUGGGGAGGAACCAGAAGAAUAUGAACAGGUCAUUCACAGUGUGAAGUGGACAACUGCAGCUGGUGGACCCUGGUGUCCACCCAUUGGUGACCUCCAGACCUGCCAACGAAAAGCUUCAGUUUCUUGCUCCUAGUCGGGUCUCAGCAAUGGAUACAGCAACACAUUUUAAAGAAUGCUGUAUGGAUGGAGGCCACAACUGGAAGACUGCACCUUGUGGAACUAGG
rnacentral:lncRNA from 1 species